CGGAGAGGGAGCAUGAGAAACGGCUACCACAUCUAAGGAAGGCAGCAGGCGCGUAAAUUACCCAAUCCUGACGCAGGGAGGUAGUGACAAGAAAUAUCAAUAGAUUGAACACAGUUCUGUCUAAUUGGAAUGAGUACAUUCUAAACCCCUUAACGAGAACCAAUUGGAGGGCAAGUCUGGUGCCAGCAGCCGCGGUAAUUCCAGCUCCAAUAGCGUAUACUAAAGUUGUUGCAGUUAAAAAGCUCGUAGUUGGAUUUCUGUGCACCGGUUGUUGGUCUGCCUCUAUGAGGUGGGUCCUUCACCGUUGUACAUCCUGUUGGCAGACACGUGCUGGCAUUCAUUUGUCGGUGCGGGGAGACCACUCGUUUACUUUGAGAAAAUUAAAGUGUUCAAAGCAGGCAAUCGCUUGAAUACAUUAGCAUGGAAUAAUAGUAUAGGACUUUGAUCUUAUUUGUUGGUUUUAAAGAUCAAAGUAAUGAUUGAUAGGGACAGUUGGGGGCAUCAGUAUUCUGAAGCGAGAGGUGAAAUUCUUGGACCUUCGGAAGACUAACAACUGCGAAAGCAUUUGCCAAGGAUGUUCUCUUUAAUCAAGAACGAAAGUUAGGGGAUCGAAGACGAUCAGAUACCGCCGUAGUCUUAACUAUAAACUAUGCCAGCUAGGGAUCGGUGAACGUUGUUUCGACUUCAUCAGCACCUUAUGAGAAAUCAAAGCAUUUGGGUUCCGGGGGGAGUAUGGUCGCAAGGCUGAAACUUAAAGGAAUUGACGGGAGGGCACCACCAGGAGUGGAGCCUGUGGCUUAAUUUGACUCAGCACGGGAAAACUUACCAGGUCCGGACAUAGUAAGGAUUGACAGACUGAAGGUCUUUCUUGAUUCUAUGGGUGGUGGUGCAUGGCCGUUCUUAGUUGGUGGAGUGAUUUGUCUGGUUAAUUCCGUUAACGAACGAGACCCCAGCCUGCUAAAUAGGUGGUUCCAUUAUGAUGGGAUCUUCUUCUUAGAGGGACUAUUGAGUGUCUAACCAAUGGAAGUUUGGGGCAAUAACAGGUCUGUGAUGCCCUUAGAUGUUCUGGGCCGCACACGGGCUACACUGCGGGGUUCAACGAGUAUAUACCCUGCGUAGAAAUGCGUAGGAAACCUUAUGAAAACCCCGCGUGCUUGGGAUAGACUAUUGCAAUUAUUAGUCUUCAACGAGGGAUUCCUAGUAAACGCAAGUCAUCAGCUUGCAUUGAUUACGUCCCUGCCCUUUGUACACACCGCCCGUCGCUCCUACCGAUUGGAUGAAUCGAUGAGUCUUUUGGAGAAUUCCGGCUGACCACAUUGUGCGACGCAGGUUUCGAAGUUAUGCAAAUCACUUCAUCUAGAGGAAGGAGAAGUCGUAACAAGGUAACC
rnacentral:rRNA from 1 species